GCCUUCGUGGUAUAGUGGUCAGCACGCUGGGCGCGUAUUCCAGAGGUCCGUGGUUCGAUUCCCGGCGAAGGCG
rnacentral:tRNA from 1 species